rnacentral:lncRNA from 1 species
AUAUAAUGUGUGAUGGGCACUGAUAACAACUCUAUGAGGUUGGGAGGCAUCUAGGAAAAAUUGUGGAGACACAAUAUGUGGUGAUUGCCAUCAUUGUCUCUGACAGCUCAGUAAAAUAAAGCAAGGGAGAUAAAGCCAACAAUCAGCAAUCAGCCACCAUGAAUAGCAGAUCAUCAAAUCCUGCCGCAUUUUUGUCAUCCCUGUCACAGCAGAACCAUAUAUGUGCAUGUCUGUUUCCGAUUGGCAUAUAGUAAGUAGAGAUGACAAAUCGUGUGGUCUUUUCAUAAACACC